UCUGCCUACAUUUAAGUCAUCAGAAAUAAUCACCCCUAAAUCCCUUUCCUCAGAUGUUGAGGUUAGAACUUGCAAUUAUCCACAUUGUUAGUUGCCACAACUCUGACCAUUUUUCUAGUUUACCUAAAUCAUUUGUCAUUUGGAUUAUCCCUUCUGGAACAUCAACCCUGUUACAUAUCUUAGUGUCAUCAGCAAAAAGACAUACCUUACCAUCAACACCUUCUGCAAUAUCACUAAUAAAAAUGGGUCCAAGUACAGAUCCCUGAGGUACCCCACUGGUGACAAG